GACGCGUGAGGUUGCUAUUCAUCCUUUUUCUUCAUAAACCCUAACCUCACAGAACCCUAGCAAUCAAGUCCGUCGCCGCCACCUUCUUUCGUUCGAUAGUCACUACAAAUUGUCAUCGUUUCCAUUGCAUCAACUAGAUCGUCUAGUCGUCGAAACUCGUCAACGCUGCUAGACGUCGUCAAUCACGCCUCUCCUUCGUCGUUCGUCGGCAAGCAUCGCGGGCUGUUCACAAACCGCCACCAAGCUGUUUCCAGCCGUUGAUCCAAGCCAAAUCAUCGUCCAACUCGUCGCUGCGUUUUCGUAAGACGUCUGAGCCGCGCGCGAGCAAUCCGUUGUCUGUCAGCUGUCACGUCUUCUUCGUCUAAAUCCAAGCCGCGCUGUCCGAGCCGUUUCUGCGCAAGUCGUCCGUAGCUCAAAGUCAUGCUUGAGCCGUCUUCUUCAUUUCGAGCCAGCAUGCCUUCAACCGGUCCAAGCCCCGUCGAGUUGAUCUCCUCUUCUAGCCAAGCCUAGUUUUUGGUCUUUUUCACUUUUUUUUUUUGAUUUGAACUGGAAGUUUGAGCGGUGGAAUUUUCUCAACCAAAGGUAAUUUGGAUUCGACUUCAACUUUGGGUAAGUUGAAUUAAAUGGAUUUUAGGUCUUUAAGCAACCAUUAAAUGGAAGCUUGACCUUGUUGUUAGGAUUAUAUUUAGAGAUUAAGCUGAUCUUCAGGUAAGAGAUUAUCUUACUAGACCUUUAAACUAAAGUAAGAGUUUGCAUGUAAUUUUCUAUUAUGCAUUGUGUAGCUAAGAUGCAAAAUGAGUUUAUGUUCAUGAUGACUGAUAGUUAUGAAUGAAAUAUGUUGAUGAUGAUA